rnacentral:rRNA from 1 species
UCGAACGGCUCCGAAGAGGUAGUAAUACUUUUUCGGGGUAGUGGCGGACGGGUGAGUAAUACAUACGUAAUCUACCCUUAAGAGGGGAACAACCUGCCGAAAGGCGGACUAAUACCCCAUAAGACCACGAACUGAGAUGUUAGUGGUAAAAGCUCCGUAUUAAAUACGGGGUACUUAAGGAUGGACCUGUGGCCUAUCAGGUAGUUGGUGAGGUAAUGGCUCACCAAGCCUAAGACGGGUAGCCGGGCUGAGAGGUCGGACGGCCACACUGGAACUGAGACACGGUCCAGACUCCUACGGGAGGCAGCAGUGGGGAAUCUUGCGCAAUGGGGGAAACCCUGACGCAGCGACGCCGCGUGGAGGAUGAAGGCCUUCGGGUUGUAAACUCCUUUUCUCAGGGAAAAUGGUGAUGGUCACCUGAGGAAUAAGCCACGGCUAACUCUGUGCCAGCAGCCGCGGUAAGACAGAGGUGGCGAGCGUCGUUCGGAAUACUGGGCUUAAAGGGCGAGUACGCGUCCUGGCAAGUCAAAUGUGGAAUCUUUCUGCUUAACGGGAAAAUUGCAUUCGAGACUGUCGGGAUUGAGUCAGUGAGGGGAGGGCGGAAUUCCUGGUGUAGCGGUGAAAUGCGUACAUAUCAGGAGGAAGGCCUGUGGCGAAGGCGGCCCUCUGGUACUGAACUGACGCUGAGGCGCGAAAGCGUGGGUAGCAAACAGGAUUAGAUACCCUGGUAGUCCACGCCCUACACGGUGGGCA